UGACCUCAAAUCAGGUAGGAUUACC
rnacentral:rRNA from 3 species